AUAUGGUAGUCUGUUAGUAUAGUUGAAGGAUUUGGAAAAUUCCGCUAAAGAGGGUGAAAGCCCCGUAGACGAAAUGCUGACAACACCUAGGAGGAUCCUGAGUACGGCGGAACACGAGAAAUUCCGUCGGAAUCCGCGGGGACCAUCCCGCAAGGCUAAAUACUCCCUAGUGACCGAUAGUGAACCAGUACCGUGAGGGAAAGGUGAAAAGCACCCCGGAAGGGGAGUGAAAUAGAUCCUGAAACCGUGUGCCUACAACAAGUCAAAGCUCGUUAAUGAGUGAUGGCGUGCCUUUUGUAGAAUGAACCGGCGAGUUACGAUUGCAUGCGAGGUUAAGUCGAAGAGACGGAGCCGCAGCGAAAGCGAGUCUGAAUAGGGCGAAUGAGUAUGUAGUCGUAGACCCGAAACCAUGUGAUCUACCCAUGUCCAGGUUGAAGGUGCGGUAAAACGCACUGGAGGACCGAACCCACGUACGUUGAAAAGUGCGGGGAUGAGGUGUGGGUAGCGGAGAAAUUCCAAACGAACUUGGAGAUAGCUGGUUCUCUCCGAAAUAGCUUUAGGGCUAGCCUCGGAAUUGAGAAUGAUGGAGGUAGAGCACUGUUUGGACUAGGGGCCCAUCUCGGGUUACCGAAUUCAGAUAAACUCCGAAUGCCAUUCAUUUAUAUCCGGGAGUCAGACUGCGAGUGAUAAGAUCCGUAGUCGAAAGGGAAACAGCCCAGACCACCAGCUAAGGUCCCAAAAUAUAUGUUAAGUGGAAAAGGAUGUGGGGUUGCACAGACAACUAGGAUGUUGGCUUAGAAGCAGCCACCAUUUAAAGAGUGCGUAAUAGCUCACUAGUCGAGUGACCCUGCGCCGAAAAUGUACCGGGGCUAAACAUAUUACCGAAGCUGUGGACUACACCAUUAGGUGUAGUGGUAGGAGAGCGUUCUAAGGGCGUUGAAGGUCGAUCGUGAGGACGGCUGGAGCGCUUAGAAGUGAGAAUGCCGGUAUGAGUAGCGAAAGACAGGUGAGAAUCCUGUCCACCGUAUGACUAAGGUUUCCUGGGGAAGGCUCGUCCGCCCAGGGUUAGUCGGGACCUAAGCCGAGGCCGAUAGGCGUAGGCGAUGGACAACAGGUUGAUAUUCCUGUACCAGUUGUUUUUGUUUGAGCAAUGGAGGGACGCAGUAGGCUAAGGAAUGCAUGCGAUUGGAAGUGCAUGUCCAAGCAAUGAGUCUUGAGUAGAGUUAAAUGCUUUACUCUUUAAGGACAAGUUGUGACGGGGAGCGAAAUAAUAGUAGCGAAGUUCCUGAUGUCACACUGCCAAGAAAAGCUUCUAGUGAGAAAACAACUGCCCGUACCGUAAACCGACACAGGUAGUCGAGGAGAGUAUCCUAAGGUGAGCGAGCGAACUCUCGUUAAGGAACUCGGCAAAAUGACCCCGUAACUUCGGGAGAAGGGGUGCUGAC
rnacentral:rRNA from 1 species